rnacentral:rRNA from 1 species
GAUGAACGCUGGCGGCGUGCUUAACACAUGCAAGUCGAACGGAAAGGCCCAAGCUUGCUUGGGUACUCGAGUGGCGAACGGGUGAGUAACACGUGGGUGAUCUGCCCUGCACUUCGGGAUAAGCCUGGGAAACUGGGUCUAAUACCGGAUAGGACCACUUCUUGGAUGUUGUGGUGGAAAGUUUUUUCGGUGUGGGAUGAGCUCGCGGCCUAUCAGCUUGUUGGUGGGGUAAUGGCCUACCAAGGCGCCGACGGGUAGCCGGCCUGAGAGGGUGUACGGCCACAUUGGGACUGAGAUACGGCCCAGACUCCUACGGGAGGCAGCAGUGGGGAAUAUUGCACAAUGGGCGCAAGCCUGAUGCAGCGACGCCGCGUGGGGGAUGACGGCCUUCGGGUUGUAAACUCCUUUCGCUAGGGACGAAGCGUUUUGUGACGGUACCUGGAGAAGAAGCACCGGCUAACUACGUG